UUCGCUUCUCAGCCUUUUGGCUAUGCUCAUGUGUAGUAUCUCUUCUUAUCAGUUUCUGGAAUUUCCCCACUGUGGGACUAAUAAAGGCAUAUCUUAUCUUAUCUUCUGUUUGUGUUUUUUUAACCCUUUAAGGACUGAGCACAUUAUAGACCAGUAUAUCUCAC
ensembl:snRNA U2 U2 spliceosomal RNA